GGUAGUGCCUGCCUGUGCUGGCCCCACGGUCAGAAAGCUCCCCUAAAAAGUGGGAGAAUCCGAUCUUCGCGCCAUGCGGGAGCACGCAGACCAUUGAAGACAAAGUGAGAAGACAGCUGUCUACAGCCAGGAAGAGGGCCUCCACCAGGAGCCAAGUUGGCCGGCACCUUGAUCUUGGACUUCUCAGCCCCGAGAGCUAUCCCUUCUCAACCUCUCAGUCAACUGAAGCCUCUCUGGACUUCACAGCCUAGUUUGGUGCAGUUCCAGUGUGCAGUCACUCACGGUGUGUUGUCCAUGCCAGGCUCUGGGUCGGGCACUGCGCACCCAGAAUUAAAAAGUGCCCACCCAGUCCCCACCCCAGAGGAGCUGCAGCCUGGUGAGGUGGCAGACAGGUCGAUAACCGCUAACCAUCGCCAGGAUGUCGUGUGGUAGGCUGGAUAAGCCUGAAAGCCCCGCGAGUGUCCCACCCUCAGGCCCGUCAGACCAGACUUGCUCUGAGGGAGGAGUUCUCUCCCAAGUUGCCAUGGGUUAAGCCUCCUGCAGCCAAUGGCCUCAGUCCACAUGCUGGCCCUGGCUCAUACUACUGGCCUCAUGCAAGACUUUGAGCCAAUCGCUAAUGAAGAGAUCUGGCUUAUGUCUGCCCAAUAAGGACCAACCCACCAAUCAGCCAGCCAUCUGACAAAUAUUUAUUGAAUAUGCACUCUGUUCCAAGCCCUGGACUGAAUAACUCACAUUGGCCCUGCGCCUUGGAGUGUUACACUCUUAGGGGAGGCAGACGUUAACCGGUAACCACACUCUGGUAUAAAAGCCCACUGUACCCACAGCAGGGACAGUCACCAUGCUGGGGGAGCCAGAGAGGCUUCUCUGGAAAGUGCUAAUUGACCUGAGAUCUUCCAGAAGGUCAGGAAUUGAACAAAGAAAAGGACAUUCCCAAGAGAGGCUACCAGAGCAUGUGCAAAGGCCCUGAGGUGACAGGACAUGUGGGAUGAGAUGGUGGUUGCCAGAAUGGGCCAAAUGGGUCUCAGUUAGGGAGCUUCAUCUAUCAGAGUGAUGGCAGCCAGGUAAGGGCUUACAGCAGGGAAGAGAUGGAGACUCCUCCCUCCAAAGUGCAAGUCCCAUCAACCUCCUGCCCCCACUCCUUCUCACUGUGACUUGGGCCUAUACUCUCUCACCAGGAGCAGCGGCCUCCACCCAUCCCUUCUGCCUUCCCCUAAUUUCAUGCCCACACUCCAAUAUUCUGUGCAGCAGCCAGAACGAUCUUUCAAAGUCCAACCAUUUUAAAAGAAAAGAAUAAUCAUGCUACUUGGUAAGGCAGACUUUAUUCGGGACUAUCAUGAUAGGUAUGGGGAGCACUGCGUGGGCUUUUGUAGUAAGGGAGAGAGAUUGCCCUCAACUCCAAAUACAAUAAGGAAAAGUGGGAGUUUAUCCCCAAGGAGCAGGGGAAAGGGGGCUACUGAGGGGAAACAUCUGGCUAAAUGGGCCUAGCAGGGUUCUUACAGAAGGCAGGCCAGGGUGCUCAGAUGUCACCUGGAGGUUGGUGGCAGAUGAGGAACUUGGUCAAAUAUCAAGGGUGAUCAGGUAUUGAGGGUGAGGGAUUCUGGCCAAACCAACUUGAUAGGAAUCUUGCUAAAACUGGACUCUACAUGGACAAAGACAGGAGCCCAAGGCCAAGCAGAGGGCUCAAAGGAGCCUGCCUAAAGUUUGGUCAAGAAGAGACUCUUUAGCCCUGAUUAAUUAUCUCAAUGGUUAGAGCGA